GCUUACGGCCACCCUCCCUGAGCACGCCAAUCUCGUCUGAUCUCGGAAGCUAAGCAGGGUCGGGCCGGUUAGUCUUGGAUGGGAGACCGCCUGGGAAUACCAGGUGCUGUAAGCC
rnacentral:rRNA from 1 species